ensembl:snRNA U6 U6 spliceosomal RNA
GUGGUCACCUCGGCAGCACAUAUACUAAAGUUGGAAUGAUACAGAGAAGAUUAAGCAUGGCCCCUGGACAAGGAUGACACAAAUUCAUGGAGUGUUCCAUAUUUUA